ACAGCUCGGGCCUUUCCCGGGAUCAAAGGUCAACUCUGGUGCUGCCAGUGAGGAGCUUGUACGUCCUCCCCACAAAGUGCGUGGGUCUCCUCCGGAUGCUCCGGUUUCCUCCCACACUCCAAAGACGUAACGGCUGUUUCAAGUUGAUGGGGUGAUUAAGAAGGCAUAUGGUGUGUCGACCUUCAUUAGUCGGGGAAAUAAGAUCAAUGCAAUGAGGCCAUGCUUUCUUCUCGUCUACCAUUGGGCAGGAGGUACAGAAGCCUGAAGUCCCACUCCACAAGAACAGCUGCAUUCCUACAAUCACCAGGUCCCUGAAUCAACCUGCACAACCCUAAUCUCUACGGUUUAAGUAACUCUGUGAUCCACACGUACAUCCACAUACUCAUAAGGACUUUCUACAUGGACACAAUUGAGAGCAUCCUCGCUGCCUGGUAUGGGAACUGUACUUCCCUCAAUCGCAGGACUCUGCAGAGAGUGGUGCGGACAGCCCAGCGCAUCUGUAGAUGUGAACUUCCCAGAGACAGGUGCAUAAAAAGGGCCCGAAGGACCACUGGGGACCCGAGUCACCCCAACCACAAACUGUUCCAUCUGCUACCAUCCGGGAAACAAUACCGCAGCAGAAAAGCCAGGACCAACAGUCUCCGGGACAGCUUCUUCCACCAGGCCAUCAGACUGAUUAAUUCACACUGACACAACUGUAUUUCUAAGCUAUAUUGACUGUCCUGUUGUACAUACGAUUUAUUACAAAUUACUA